rnacentral:lncRNA from 1 species
UUUUUUCUUUUUCUUUUUUUUUUGAGACGGAGUCUCACUUUAUCACUCAGGCUGGAAUGUAGUGGCACAAUCUCGGCUCACCCUCCGCCUCCCGGGUUCAAGCAAUUCUCUGUCUCAGCUUCCUUAGUAGCUGGGAUUACAGGUGCCCUCCAUCACGCCUGGCUAAUUUUUGUAUUUCUAGUAGAGACAGGGUUUCACCGUCUUGGCUUGGCUGGCCUUGAACUCCUGACCUCGUGAUCCACCCACCUCUGCCUCCCAAAGUGCUGGGAUUACAGGCGUGAGCCCUUGUGCCCGGCCAAUGCAUCCUAUACAUGUAGGAAAUUAUUAUUUACAGUGCCUGAUACAUAAUUAGUAGGCAAAAAACAUUUGCUAAGUGAGACUAAUUAUUACUUGACAGUCCUUGGGAUGUGGAAAUGUGAUUGCAAAACAUGUGUUAGCUACUUUGGGGAGGAAAAGAGAUCAUAUAUAGUAUCUACUCCUCAAUUAAUUACAAUAUAAUUAGGGAGGUAAUAUUCAUGAGAAGAUUUAAACAGGAGUUCAAAAUUUAUGUAAGACAAUAGUACAAGAGAAGUCACAGGUUAUACAUGAUUUACUGCCAAGGAAGUGAUACCAACAACAUGUAUCCCAAGUUCAGGUAUGGAAUAGAUACAGGCUGUAAUAGUCAAAGUUCAGGUAUGGAAUGAGUGUGGGCUGUAAUAGUCAAAGAAGGCUUCUAGGAGGAGGUAGGUCUUCAGCAGGAUCUUGGAGAGUGUGGGUAGAGGAAGAAUAAUUGCUACUGUUACCCCCACAAACAUCAUUUUUCUGCCCACAAUUUCAGGAAUUUACAUUGUUCAUUUAAGACACUGAUAGUUCCAAUGUUUCAAAUGGUACCCUUUUUGUCUCCCUUCUGUUGUAACAUUUUUCCUUUUUAUUUUGAAAUAAUUUCCAACUUACAGGAAAGUAACAAGAACUGUACAAAUAAGUCACUUUUUCCCCUUUGAGAGUAGGUCACCCCGAUGAUGUUCCAUCAUUCACAAAUUCUCAAAAUCAGGAAAUUAACACUGAUGUAUUACUAUCAUCUAAUCCACAGAACCCAUUUAAGUUUAAGCAGUUAUCCCAAUAAUGUCACUGAAAGUGAUGCAUUUAGUUAUGUCUCAUUAAUCUUUAAUCAGAACAAUUCUUUAGUCUUUCUUCGACUUUCAUGACCUUGCUACUUGUAAAGAUUAUAGGUGAGUUAUUUUAUAGAAUAUCCCUCAAUUUGAUUUGUCUGAUGUUUCUUCUUGAUUAGAUUCAAGUUAUGCAUUUUGGGCAGGAAUAGCACAGAAGGCAUGCUGGGUUUUUCCUCAUGACAUACCAUCAGGCUGUAGCAAUUUCAAUUGUCUCCUU